GUAAUGGGUGAGAGUGGGGGUGAGGGUGGUCCCUGAAUGGGCUUUAUAAGGCUGUGACUCCCUACAAUUAGGUGCACUACCUAGAGAUUUCUCACCCACAUGGGCACCCUGAAAGGUGACAGGGAAUCAGGCCAUCUGUUGCAGAGAAGCUUGUCACUUUCUCAGAGGGUCCCUGGCAGACAGUCACUUACUUUACAGAGGCCGUGUAAGUCACUGCCGGUCUCCUGCCUCAGUCCCACCACACACAUCCAAGGACAUCUGGAGGGGAUCUUCACUCUCGUAAAAAGACAGAUCCUGAAGCGUUUACUUCCGCAGAUUAACGAAGGAUCUUAUAACUUCAAAGAAAGAACAUCUUACUUUUGUGGUGAUGCCUAUGAUUAUUAAGACUCUGCAGUGGUACAAUUUUAUGGUGACUGCUACAGAUCAAGUUUCAAUCUAAUUGCUCAACAAUUAAUUAGAAACAGAAAUGAGGAAUAGAAACUAUUUUCAGUGGAUACUAGGGAACUGUUUAUAUUUCAUCAGAGUGCCUGGGAGAAAAAAGUCAUUGAGCUAUAAAAGAUUACAUCUGGGUUUCAAUUAAAGUCAAGAAGAUUCAGUAAGCCAAAUGGUGGCCCAGAGAUUAUGGCCAUGGUGCGCUACACUGCUGACGAAAGCCUUCCAGGGGUCAUGGAAUUCCUUCCCUUGCUCCAUGAAUGUCCACUUGAGACAAUAAGGAGGAUCUUACUUCCAACAAUAAAGGCAAGGAAUUGUUCUGUGUAGUGGUUAGUCAUAAAAAAAAAGAUGAAGAUCAUGGCCCUAUUUCAAGUAGACCCAUAUAACAAAAAUAAGCUUUAUUAAAUUAUUCUGGACACUCUUCGAAGUUCUUAAAGCCAUUGUUAUAAAUGCUGAAAUAAGGUGAAUUUAUAGCCAGAGCCCUUUAGCACAGCUGCCCUAGCAAUGAACUCAGGUUUGACCUAUAUGUAACACCUUCUCUGGGGGUUAACAAAUCAUUCAGUCUUCAUUCAUGCAAGUUGCCUUUCUCAAAAAGCAAUGCCUUAAGUCACCCCAGCUACCCUGCAUCCCGCCAAUAACUUCCUCCAGUUGGGCUGAAUUAGUCAUGAUAGUUUUACUGUGUGAGCUAAUACUCACAAGUGUCAGAGUUCAAGCCACCAACAUAUUUCACAGGAGACUUCAAAUUGAGCUCAAACCUUAGCCCUAGUUGCCAAAGGCCCUGAUGUUUAUCUUCCUGAACGCUCCAUAGGAAGAAGCAGAGCACAUAACAAGGACAUGGAGACACCACCUACAAGUGCUGGGUUUUGUGCCCACGACCCUGUUAGGUUAGAAUCUUCACUGGGCACAGAACUUUGCUUUUCUGAUCUAAAACGGAAACAUGAUUUCUACGGAACAAAUGGAGGAAAGACAUUUAUGAGAGGCUCUUAUUUGAAAAAGGAGGUAGCUUUAAUCUGUAUAUCCUCAAAGAGCAGAAGAAAUAAAAUCAUGAAUGAAUGCUUCAGGGAGAUAGGUUUUGGCUUUCAGAAGAAUCAUUUUCACAUUUACAGUUGUUUGAGGGGCAAAAAGAUGCCCACAGCAGGAGGAGCUGUUAGAAGAGAACAGAGAUCUGUAGGCAGGGAGAGUAAAGAGAUUCAGGUAUGGGAUCUGAGAGGGGAAGCUAAAGGCUUUAGAUGACGUGCUUUUAAAAAGUCUCUUAUGAUUUAGGAAUAUUUUAUGGGUGUUUGCAUGAUGUAUGGCAGGAAGUUAACACAAAAACCAAAGUCUAGGAAUCUAGUUUCUGCUGUGGAGGAUGGGAUAGGGUUGGUAGUUCUCAGUGGGUAAAGGUCUAGGCCCCCAGCUGAGUAUCUAAUGAAUUAGUUUCCAGUUCUUUGGGCCGAAUUGCUGAUAAAUGAGUGGUUAAGCUGAAGGUCAUUUGUUUAUUCUUUCAGUCAUUCAUUCAUGUAACUAGGGUUUCAGCCACUUCCUGGCGUGCUGGGUCCUCCUCAUGUCCUGAGGCUCCGCAUUAUUCAGCUAUAAUCCCUGCUCUGUGACCGUUCUUAGUCAGGCUGGUCAGUGUGCCUCAGUAUCUUGAUAUUUUAAUUUCUUAUCUUGAUGAGUGUCCAAAUGAAAAUACAUU